UGUUACUAGCAGCAAACAUCUUACAGUUAGAUUUUGUUAUUGAUGCAUGUUCCGAGUUUUUACAAAAACAACUGGAUGCAUCAAAUUGUCUUGGCAUCAGAGCGUUUGCUGACUUACAUAACUGUACGGAAUUGUUAGCGAGUUCUGAAACAUUAAUAAAAAAACAGUUUCUGGAAGUGGUUAAAAGUGAUGAGUUCCUAUCUUUAUCAUCCGAAGAUGUGGUUAAGAUUAUCUCCAGUAAUGACCUUGCUGUUCCAUAUGAAGAAAAAGUAAGCUGACUGCAAUGUUAGUAAUUAUUGUACGGAAAGUCAACUAAACACAAAGAGCUAACAAAUAAAUACAUGACUCUUUCAUUGAAUAUUGAAUAUAUCUACCAUUUAAAAAAAAAAAAAAUGUCUACAAGUAUUUGAAAGUGUUAUUAAAUGGGUAAAAAAGGAUUUGGAUCAGAGAAAAGACUUUUUGACAGAAUUAAUGGAACACGUGCGUUUGCCAAUAAUAGCAUCUAG